ACGGCAGCACGGACUUCGGUCUGGUGGCGAGUGGCGAACGGGUGAGUAAUAUAUCGGAACGUGCCCAGUCGUGGGGGAUAACGUAGCGAAAGCUACGCUAAUACCGCAUACGAUCUACGGAUGAAAGCGGGGGAUCGCAAGACCUCGCGCGAUUGGAGCGGCCGAUAUCAGAUUAGGUAGUUGGUGAGGUAAAGGCUCACCAAGCCGACGAUCUGUAGCUGGUCUGAGAGGACGACCAGCCACACUGGGACUGAGACACGGCCCAGACUCCUACGGGAGGCAGCAGUGGGGAAUUUUGGACAAUGGACGCAAGUCUGAUCCAGCCAUUCCGCGUGCAGGACGAAGGCCUUCGGGUUGUAAACUGCUUUUGUACAGAACGAAAAGGUCUCUAUUAAUACUAGGGGCUCAUGACGGUACUGUAAGAAUAAGCACCGGCUAACUACGUGCCAGCAGCCGCGGUAAUACGUAGGGUGCAAGCGUUAAUCGGAAUUACUGGGCGUAAAGCGUGCGCAGGCGGUUAUGUAAGACAGAGGUGAAAUCCCCGGGCUCAACCUGGGAACUGCCUUUGUGACUGCAUAGCUGGAGUACGGCAGAGGGGGAUGGAAUUCCGCGUGUAGCAGUGAAAUGCGUAGAUAUGCGGAGGAACACCGAUGGCGAAGGCAAUCCCCUGGGCCUGUACUGACGCUCAUGCACGAAAGCG
rnacentral:rRNA from 1 species